AUAACCUAAUGCUUUGAACUAGAAUCACAGAAUUAUAAAUCUGUUUGAUCAACACUAUCGUACCAACUUUGUCAAAGUCAUAGUCUAAUUUAAGCAUGUUAUCUUUUCCUUCUCUUAUAUUAAGAACAGACAAUAACCAAAUGGAGCUCACUGUUUUACUGUUAGUCUUGACCACAGACAGCAGUCAUGCAGACCAAACACAGUAGAGAACAAAGACAGAACCCUGUUCAUAUCAGGGGAGCCCUACUGCUCAGGUCAGAUGUAUUGCUCUUCCUGAGUUUCUGGUCUGUCUGUUCACGUUGUGUUUUAAACGUGGUCGAUACGACGACUGUGGAUCUAGAGUGACGUCAGAGUCACAUUACGAUACGACUGAUCAACCUGAGGUCUGCUGCUGCUCUGGGCUUCAACACACACACAGCUUUUACUCAGACUAAUGAUGGAGUCAUGAUGUAUCACUGCUGAGCUCUGAGAUGGACAACAGUCACAGACAGAGAGAUCCUCUUCUUACCUCUUAGCUUUGCUCCGGGGGCCGAGUUCCCCAGACAGAGCGGUCUUAGGGGUAGAAUCCCCCUCCUCUCUCUCCUCAUCCAUAGUAGAAUGGAGAAAAUACGUUCCGU